UCAGUCUUCAAUUCCUCCCAGCCCAUUACUAUGGAAACUGUGAGUUGAGGCGAGUUGAAGACUAAA
ensembl:miRNA